rnacentral:rRNA from 1 species
GUGCCAGCAGCCGCGGUAAGACGGAGGGCGCAAGCGUUGUUCGGAAUUACUGGGCGUAAAGCGCGAGCAGGUGGUCUGUUAAGUCUUUUGUGAAAACCCGGGGCUCAACUCCGCGGAAUGCAGAAGAUACUGGCAGACUAGAGAACAGUAGAGGCUAGCGGAAUUCCUGGUGUAGCGGUGGAAUGCGUAGAUAUCAGGAAGAACACCUGUGGCGAAGGCGGCUAGCUGGGCUGUUUCUGACACUCAUCCGCGAAAGCGUGGGGAGCAAACAGGAUUAGAUACCCUGGUAGUCCACGCCGUAAACGAUGGGCACUAGGUGCCGGGUCUAUAGACGGGUUCGGUGCCGAAGCUAACGCAUUAAGUGCCCCGCCUGGGGAGUACGGCCGCAAGGCUGAA